UGGGGAAUAUUGCACAAUGGGGGAAACCCUGAUGCAGCAACGCCGCGUGAAGGAUGAAGGUUUUCGGAUUGUAAACUUCUUUAGUCAGGGACGAAUAAAUGACGGUACCUGAAGAAUAAGCCACGGCUAACUACGUGCCAGCAGCCGCGGUAAUACGUAGGUGGCGAGCGUUGUCCGGAAUUACUGGGUGUAAAGGGCGUGUAGGCGGGAAUGUAAGUCAGAUGUGAAAUCCCAGGGCUUAACCCUGGAGCUGCAUCUGAAACUAUGUUUCUUGAGUGCCGGAGAGGAUAGCGGAAUUCCUAGUGUAGCGGUGAAAUGCGUAGAUAUUAGGAGGAACACCAGUGGCGAAGGCGGCUAUCUGGACGGUAACUGACGCUGAGGCGCGAAAGCGUGGGGAGCAAACAGG
rnacentral:rRNA from 1 species